GACGAACGCUGGCGGCGUGCUUAACACAUGCAAGUCGAACGGAAAGGCCCUGCUUUUGUGGGGUGCUCGAGUGGCGAACGGGUGAGUAACACGUGAGUAACCUGCCCUUGACUUUGGGAUAACUUCAGGAAACUGGGGCUAAUACCGGAUAGGAGCUCCUGCUGCAUGGUGGGGGUUGGAAAGUUUCGGCGGUUGGGGAUGGACUCGCGGCUUAUCAGCUUGUUGGUGGGGUAGUGGCUUACCAAGGCUUUGACGGGUCGCCGGCCUGAGAGGGUGACCGGCCACAUUGCGACUGAGAUACGGCCCAGACUCCUACGGGAGGCAGCAGUGGGGAAUAUUGCACAAUGGGCGGAAGCCUGAUGCAGCAACGCCGCGUGCGGGAUGACGGCCUUCGGGUUGUAAACCGCUUUCGCCUGUGACGAAGCGUGAGUGACGGUAAUGGGUAAAGAAGCACCGGCUAACUACGUG
rnacentral:rRNA from 1 species